CACAGAUGAUUAUGGAAUAUCAGAGGGUGCCGUUGACAAUGGUGGGCCCAACUGAGAGUUUUUCUGGUUGUGCCUAUAUGAAAUCAAGGAUAAAAUUGGCAUCUUUGAAGGCCCACCCAGUGCCAAAGUCCUCACAUGCAACUGUAAAGCAAUGAAAGAAAAUAGAUACUUCCAUGCUGGCCAAAUCAUGGCAAUGUCAAUUGGCCAUGGGGGACAGAGUCCAUGUUUCCUGUCUGUCUUGUAUGAGUGUCUUCAAAAAGACCCAGACAGUGUGGCUCUAACCACUGAAUGUAUUACUGAUGUGGAAACAAGGUCCCAGGUGCAGUCGAUCUUAGAGGCUCAAACACAAUCAGAGUUGCCAAAUGCAGUGUGUCAGGCAGCCAGUUUAAUCAGUCUUGCUGGUCAUAAUGUCUGUAUAACACUUGACAACAAACAAGACACUGCCUUGGACUUGGCUCAGUGGUAUAUCCUCCAA